CGACGUUGAUAGGCAGGGUGUGUAAGUGCUGCGAGGCAUUGAGCUAACCUGUACUAAUUGCCCGUGAGGCUUAACCAU
rnacentral:rRNA from 1 species